rnacentral:rRNA from 1 species
CAACCUGCCGCUUACUCGGGGAUAGCCUUUCGAAAGAAAGAUUAAUACCCGAUGGUAUAAAGAGUUCGCAUGUUCUCUUUAUUAAAGAAUUUCGGUAAGCGAUGGGGAUGCGUUCCAUUAGAUUGUUGGCGGGGUAACGGCCCACCAAGUCUACGAUGGAUAGGGGUUCUGAGAGGAAGGUCCCCCACAUUGGAACUGAGACACGGUCCAAACUCCUACGGGAGGCAGCAGUGGGGAAUAUUGGUCAAUGGACGAGAGUCUGAACCAGCCAAGUAGCGUGAAGGAUGACUGCCCUAUGGGUUGUAAACUUCUUUUAUAAGGGAAUAAAGUGAGGGACGUGUCCCUUUUUGUAUGUACCUUAUGAAUAAGGAUCGGCUAACUCCGUGCCAGCAGCCGCGGUAAUACGGAGGAUCCAAGCGUUAUCCGGAUUUAUUGGGUUUAAAGGGAGCGUAGGUUGACAUAUAAGUCAGCUGUGAAAGUUUACGGCUCAACCGUGAAAUUGCAGUUGAUACUGUAUGUCUUGAGUGUAGAAGAGGUGGGCGGAAUUCGUGGUGUAGCGGUGAAAUGCUUAGAUAUCACGAAGAACUCCGAUUG